UCUAAUUAAAACUUCCUUUAUGGCGCAGUCUGUUAGUAGCCUUCUAGACCAUGCAGGAGCCUUCUGUGUGUGUGAUUAAAGUUUGUUUGGCUGACGUCGGCGGGGAGACCUAAUGCACAUGCGCGGCAAUUGCCACGCGCGUGCAUUACACCACUCUAUAGGAAAGCAGUAUUCAGUGCUUUCCUAUGGGGAUUCCGGCAACGCUGGAGGUCCUCAUGCCUUGCGUGAGGACGUCCAGCAUCUCUUAAAACACUAAAAGUGUUUUAAGAACCCCGAAGCUCCUGUAGUGGCUGUCUCAUAGACAGCCAUUAGAGGAGGACUUAACACUGUUGGGCAAUUAGUGCAGUUUAUGAAAAACUGCACUAAUUACACUUGCAGAGUUAAGGGUAGUGGGAGUUGGCACCCAGACCACUCCAAUGGGCAGCAGUGGUCUGGGUGCCUGGAGUGUCCCGUUAAGUGUCUUGGUCAGAGCUACUCCAAAAUGGCAAGUCUUGUGGGGUGUACUCUGUAUGCAGUGGUUAGUACCUACCAAAAAUGGUGUAAGGAAGGACAACUGGUGAACUCUUGUCAGGUUCAUGGGCAUCCACAACUCAUUGAUGCAUAUGGGGAAAGGGGCGGAUCCAGAACCUAAUCUUGGGGGGCAAUAAUUUAAAAGAAAAUUUCAGGCACAAUAACCACUACAGCUCUACGUAGUAGUUAUGGCGUCAGGAGUGCCGUGGUGCUCUCCUAGAAUAAGUAUACAAAC